CCCUAAUCUUUUCCAGCCUCCAUCUUCCUUCUUCCACCAGUCAAGCAAAUCAAAUGAAAUGGUAGUUUUUCUCAUCUUCAUCUUCUGACAAAUGGAUCUUAUUUAUCUUCUUUCUCACACAGCAACAAAUGACAACCUAAUUUCUGCUAAACCCUAAAACCCACCAUCGCAAAUUUGCUUUGUCUGUUCUUGAUCGAUUCCUCUUUGAUAAUUGAAGGUCCACAUAUAAAGACUGAGUGUUAGAUGUUGGAACCGGACUUGAAAAAUUCGAAAUAAAUUUCUACUUUUGUAGUGGCAAUCUCAAGAUUUCAAAUCCGUUUCUCAAUUGUCGUUCUUUCAUUCGGCAUUUCGAACAAUUACGAUUAGUUUUUUUUUUUUAUAUGAUUCAGGUAUAAUUUGAAUCAUCCUUGAUGUUCCGGCUGUUCAAGACAAUGAAUUGGUUUUGAUUCGGUAUCCUUUUAAUCAUAUAAUGGUCAAAUACACUUAAUACACCAUACAAUUAUAUUUUCCUUUCCUAAUUUUUUUUCCUUCAGGCUUUUUUGUCUAUUUCGAGUUUAUCUAAUAACUAGAUUUGUUUAUCGUUUAUUCUAUCUUGGCUCUUUGUGUAGAUGUAUGUUUUUUGAUAACACAAAUUUAAAUAUCAAUAUAAUUGUGUAUGUUUUGAAUGCGUUCUAAUCCGAUUUUUAUUACUUUUUUGCAUCUAAUCCGAUAAUUGUGAAACUGCAUUAGCAUAUUUCUUUCUCUGUAGUGAUCAUCUUUAAUAGCACUAAAAGGCACAUCAAGAUACUAAGUAACAAUGGUGCCAUAAACUUUUGGGAUGCAUCAUCUCUAUUUCUUAUUCCAAUCCUAUCAUUCAAUCAAACAGAGGAGAUUAAUGAGAUUGAGAGUGUGUUCAUGUGCAACCAGGUUCUGGAAUCGGUUGGGUAACGGGUCAGAUGGGUAUAUUUGUUCAUGUCUCAAGAAAUGCAAAGAUUGGGAUAAGCCAGGGAUGUGGGUAUGCGACCAUGAGCUCACUUGGAGAAUCCAAAGUUGAAUUGCUACUCUAGAUGGUUCAAACAAUAAACCUUUGAGAAGUUGUAAAAUGCCCCACACCAGAGCCUCGAGUGGAGUUUCCUGUAUAUAGAAGGAAUUGACGCCAUAUGGGUACCGUACAAGUAUUAAUCUUCAUUUCAUGUACCAGUUCAUUCCAGAAUGACAUCGAUCAACAAUUUCCAGAAAUGCCAGUGAUUUCUUCAACUCCGACUACCGUCGAAAAGACUUCAAGGAUUGCACUGAUCGCCGCCCACAGAAUCGUUCGAGCUCUCGAUUACGAUGUUGAUGAAUUUUAGGCCACCUGCGACCCAGUGAUAGGUUUGAUGCAACUUAAAAUACGAGCCUGUUAGGUCUUUAAGUUGGCAGGUGUGAUACUGCAUGCUGGCGUGAUGAGCGUUUCUUCAUCAGGUUCUAGACAGGUUUUGGGUGGAGAUCUUGCUCGUAUGAUACAAAUCUAAUAUAGCCUUUUUCAUUUAAAAAUGGGCACCAUGUUUCAAACUUUGAGGACUUAAAUAGGGGCGGGUCUGCUUGGACAACUGGUGUAAGAAGUAAUAGAAUUAAAACAAAACCCUUGGAAUAUUGGAAGGGUGAAAGACCCUUGUAUGCAUGAGUUCAUAACAGUUAUGUUAAAUAUCCAACGGGUCAAACGGGUAUAAUAAUAAACAUGUCAAUGAGUCGAGUAUGUGAAACAGAGCCAUUGAAAAUGGUUUCUCUUGUAAAGACUGUGAAGAUGAGUAUGAAAAUGUAAGUGAAGAUGGAGGUGCAUUUUCUAGGUCCGUACAAGUUGUAAAAUUGAACAAUGUUGAGAGAAAUAAUCAUUCUUUAAAAGAAAGAAAACCAGUGAGUUUUGUGAAAUCCAAUUUUAGUAGAAGCAGUACAAGUAGAAACGAGUGGUUUAAGUGCCAUCAAUGUAGGAGAACCGACACAAUAACAGUUUCUUCCACCAAGUGUAAAGAAAAAGUAUAUCGUAUCCAAUGCAUCAAGCAAUGGUAUCCCCAAUUGUCAAAAGAAGAUUUUGCUGAGCUAUGCCCAUUUUGAUGUGGAAACUACAACUGCAACUUGUGGUUACAGUCCAACAUUAAGAUGCCGAAAAUUAAAUUUGAUAAUGAUGUGAAGUUGCAACAUCUUCAUUAUUUAAUCAAUUCACUCCUUUCGUUUUCUAAACAAAUCUGUAAAGAACAAGAAGAGGAAAAUAUCGGUGGAAGCAUCUUCUCGAGGGGUAUCACAGUCUUCACUUAAAAUUAGGCUGGCAGAUUGUUACACUGAUGAGUGUGUCUAUUGCAACCAUUGCUCAACAUCAAUAUCUGAUCUCCAUAGAAGUUGUUCAAAAUGCUCAUAUGAGCUAUGUCUUAAUUGCUGUCGGGAAAUACGGAACAAUGAACCUAUCGUUCAAAGAAAAGUAGACUUUGGGUACUACUUUAGAGGUUUUGACUAUGUUCAUGGGGGGAUCCUUAAUGAAUACCACUUUUCUUAAAAAUGCACCGAUGUAUGUAUAAAAUAUUAUUUUAACCCAUUUUUAUAUUUGUUUGGUGUAUAGAGUUUAGCAACUUAAAAUUCUUUAUUAAAUAGAUAUUGAUUUAAUUGAUUGGGGUGAAUGGCAAAAUGAAUUUACAUAAUGAAUCAAAGAAUUUAAUUUCUAAUUUGAUUUCGUUUGCAAAUUAAAAGUCUUUGUGAAUAUGAAUGUGAAUAGUGCAGCUAAUUAUAUGGAUGGCAUAAAGAAUCCACGUGGGCUACAAGUUAACUUAGAACAAGAAUUUCAUUAUUUGGGUUGACACAAUUAAUUAUAAAGGUCUGGGCUGAACAAAGUCAUUGGGCUCAAUAUUUUUGUGGUCAACGAAAAAAGAGAGGGGGGAGUCGCAAGUUAAUUGGGGAGAGAAGAAUUGUUGACGGUUGUUUAAAAAGAGGAAAUUCGCACAGUAUUUAGAUUUUAGACUACGCACAACACGGAGAAAAAACAAGCAGCCUAUUUGUGUGGAUAUGGUAUGUAUGGAUUAAUAGUUAUAUGCUCAACAUGAUAUUUUAUAAAUUCUAUAAUGCAGAAAGUGUGCAUUAGCUAUCGGUGUGCUACAAUGGACUGAAAUCCAUGUUCUUAUGUUUCUAAAUCUAUUCUUGAAAAUGUUAUAUGUGAUAUGUUAUUUCUUACUAAUAGAUUAAAAGGCUUUUGCAAACCCAAAAUUGUAACAAGUUAACAAAUUGUCGACCACAAAUCACAAUUGCCAAGUGAUAGCCUAUACGACAACAUACGUCAUUACGUUGUACAAACACCUAGAGGUAGUUGAUUGUGUUACAGUUAUUUUUUGCUUCUCAUUACCAAAACUAAAAAACAAAAUUUCUCAUUGUUUUUAUUGGUUGUAAGUUGGCUGCUAAUAUCAUUUUUGUUUAUAUGAUUAUUAUAUUAUUAAAGUCAUUUUUAAAUUUUAUUACAGCUUUAAAUACGGCCAUUGCGAAGAUCGAUAGUAAAGAGUGGACUAAUCUCAUGUUACUUUUAGUAAAUUGUAAAUGUAAAAUUAUUUGUCUUUUUUUUGAUGUUUUUGUACAUGGCUUAUAAAGAAAACUUCAUACCUAAUAACACUUUAUUUGCAUUAGUUUUAUU
rnacentral:lncRNA from 1 species